rnacentral:rRNA from 1 species
AGCGAACGCUGGCGGCAGGCCUAACACAUGCAAGUCGAACGAAGUCUUCGGACUUAGUGGCGGACGGGUGAGUAACACGUGGGAACGUACCUUUUGGUUCGGAACAACUCAGGGAAACUUGAGCUAAUACCGAAUGUGCCCUUAGGGGGAAAGAUUUAUCGCCAUUAGAGCGGCCCGCGUUAGAUUAGCUAGUUGGUGGGGUAAAGGCCCACCAAGGCUACGAUCUAUAGCUGGUCUGAGAGGAUGAUCAGCCACACUGGGACUGAGACACGGCCCAGACUCCUACGGGAGGCAGCAGUGGGGAAUCUUGCGCAAUGGGCGAAAGCCUGACGCAGCCAUGCCGCGUGAAUGAUGAAGGUCUUAGGAUUGUAAAAUUCUUUCAGUAGGGACGAUAAUGACGGUACCUACAGAAGAAGCCCCGGCUAACUUCGUGCCAGCAGCCGCCGUAA